AAUAAUAAAUGAAUUACAAACUAGCUAGCUAGCUAUAUAUUGUAAUGAAAUAGGCAGGGAGCAGGUCUCGAACCCUCGACCCAGCCGAAGUCCAGCGCGCUAUCGACUGUGCCGCAAAAGCAUGCUCAAGCGGCAGAGUGGAUAUCCGCGCUUAUAAACCCAGGGUUGUUACAAUAUAUUUGAAUCAAUCUACAACAGGCUAUUCAAUCGAAUGAUUUUCCUGUUUGCCCAAAUGUGUAAAAGUUACUGUAUCAUCCGCAGAAAAAAAAAGUGUUCCUCAGGGUACACUCGCUUUUCAAAACCCAUCAACAAAGUGACUGUCAGUACUGACUACACAUUAGCUUGUAGAUAGUUAUCUUAGCUUUCUACUGUAUCGAUGGAUUCCAGGGAGAGUGAAAUCGCUAGAUGUUUAAAUAGUAAUGAUGUUGAGCUGGUUCAGUCGAUCAGUGGCGUCAAUUUAUUGGCUACUACUUUUUUACCUGAGCCGGAGCGCCGCCAUCAUCAGCGACUCAGACGAGCUCACCAAAGCGAGACCGAGCCCCGCCUUGGGAGGCAACCGAUGAAGACCACCCGUCAAUUACUGUGCUUCAGUCAGUCGAGGUGAAAUAUGUCAGUGAUGCUGUGCAACAAAUUGAAAAUGCUUGCAUGGUCAGGUGCACUUGCAAGUCCAACGAAGGGUAGCCCUGCUAUUUGCUUUUUACCCCCAAGGAGAUGAGACGUGACAAGAUGAAUUAACUCACCAAUGGUACUAUGAAAAACAUCUAGUGCUCAUUGGACAGAUCACUGGUUCCAUGAACCUCUCCAAGGAAACUGUCAUCUCAAAGGAGCAAACAAGCAGAAAGGAGACAUCAGAUGAGGUCAUAUUUCCUUGAUUGCCAGCAGAUCUGAAGACUCAUAAGUUCUUUAGAGUAAUACAACUUGAUGUUUUCUGUUAUUUUGGGGCUGCAACAGUAUUACAAGUGCUUCCCAAACAGUUCGCGUUGCCCUUCUGCUAUAGGACAACACCCAUGACGUAUUUAUUCCAAACAUCUGUCAGCACAAAGAUUCAAGUCACUACCAGCCAUCAGGAUUUAAAACUGCUUUCAGAGGGCAUAACCACCUCAAGCUUGCUUUCAAAAUAAACAAUUCGCAACAGAAACUGAACAUCUGUUCAGGAAGUCAUAUCUAGGCUACUUCCCCAUUUCACAUUACAAAACAUUUCCCAAUUAUUGAACUAUGCAAUGAAAAUUGACUCAAUCCUAGUAUUCAUAUAUCAAAUCUCAUUUUCACUUGGCUUUUGGAACAAUUAACAUGAAAAAUACAGAAAAGUUGAUUCGCCCCAGACAAAUGACGCAGCCGGUGGUUGAAGUUGAAUUGAACAGUAUAAAAAAAAAUCAUAAUGGAGAAAGACCCAUUGAAAUCACCUAGAAUAUAUGUUGUCACGCACUACUCAUAAAGCAAAUUUAAAAUUUGUAUUAUUUAAAAACAUAAAAUACUGUCUCAUACAGUCAUUAUUAUUUUUAAUACCGUGAUAAUAUUUUGGCCAUAUCGCCCAGCCCUACUUUUUACUAAGCUAACAGAACACACACUCCGCUGACACGCAACAGAAACAGAAAACACAUCAAACCACAUUUACAUCUAUUUACAGUUCAAUCAAACCAAGGACUUGGAGCAGAGUCCAGUGCUUCAUAGCAUCUCAGUGAGCUGUCAAUCAUUUAACCUGGGAAAUAAAGAAGGGAAAUGGAUCUAAGUCCUCAUACAGCAGCUUAGACAUAUAGGGGUCGUAUUCACUAGACACCAAAGAGAAGAACACGGAACAAAAACAAACCUGAACUUAGAAACUAGUUUUUGUUGCAAAACCGGUUUGCAUCAAUGAAUAUAACAGUGUCUGGAUGUCUACAAUGGCUUAUUGUACACUAUAUCAGUGUGCUCAUGAAACUGAUUAUUAUUCCAUUUCUGUUAGUCACAUGUCUGUGGAACUUGUUCAGUUUGUCUCAUUUGUUGAAUCUUGUUACAUUCAUACAAAUAUUUACACAUGUUAAGUUUGCUGAAAAUAAAUGCAGUUAACAGUGGGGGGACGUUUCUUUUUUUGCCGAGUUUAUAUUCCAAGCUUGUUAAAGCAACGGUAGGAGACAUAAAUAAACCAUCAAUCACAAGUGA